rnacentral:rRNA from 1 species
UACGGAGGGGGCAAGCGUUAUUCGGAAUUAUUGGGCGUAAAGGGCGCGUAGGCGGCUGUACAAGUCAAAGGUGAAAUCCCUCGGCUCAACUGAGGAACUGCCUUUGAAACUGUACGGCUUGAGGCCGGGAGGGGUAGCGGAAUUCCCAGUGUAGCGGUGAAAUGCGUAGAUAUUGGGAGGAACACCAGUGGCGAAGGCGGCUACCUGGACCGGUUCUGACGCUGAUGCGCGAAAGCGUGGGUAGCAAACAGG